rnacentral:rRNA from 1 species
GAUGAACGCUGGCGGCGUGCCUAAUACAUGCAAGUCGAGCGAACAGAUAAGGAGCUUGCUCCUUUGACGUUAGCGGCGGACGGGUGAGUAACACGUGGGUAACCUACCUAUAAGACUGGAAUAACUCCGGGAAACCGGGGCUAAUGCCGGAUAACAUUUAGAACCGCAUGGUUCUAAAGUGAAAGAUGGUUUUGCUAUCACUUAUAGAUGGACCCGCGCCGUAUUAGCUAGUUGGUAAGGUAACGGCUUACCAAGGCAACGAUACGUAGCCGACCUGAGAGGGUGAUCGGCCACACUGGAACUGAGACACGGUCCAGACGCCUACGGGAGGCAGCAGUAGGGAAUGUUCCGCAAUGGGCGAAAGCCUGACGGAGCAACGCCGCGUGAGUGAUGGAGGUCUUCGGAUCGUAAAACUCUGUUAUUAGGGAAGAACAAAUGUGUAAGUAACUGUGCACGUCUUGACGGUACCUAAUCAGAAAGCCACGGCUAACUACGUG